rfam:Camelus ferus unplaced genomic scaffold scaffold991, whole genome shotgun sequence.
GAGGGAGUAGCUCAGUGGUAGAGCACCUGCUGAGCAUGCAUGAGGUCCUGGGUUCAAUCCCCAGUCCCUCC